GACGAACGCUGGCGGCGUGCUUAACACAUGCAAGUCGAACGGAAAGGCCCUGCUUUUGUGGGGUGCUCGAGUGGCGAACGGGUGAGUAACAAGUGAGUAACCUGCCCUUGACUUUGGGAUAACUUCAGGAAACUGGGGCUAAUACCGGAUAGGAGCUCCUGCUGCAAGGUGGGGGUUGGAAUGUUUCGGCGGUUGGGGAUGGACUCGCGGCUUAUCAGCUUGUUGGUGGGGUAGUGGCUUACCAAGGCUUUGCCGGGUAGCCGUCCUGAGAGGGUGACCGGCCACAUUGGGACUGGGAUACGGCCCAGACUCCUACGGGAGGCAGCAGUGGGGAAGAUGGCACAAGGGGCGGAAGCCUGAUGCAGCAACGCCGCGGGCGGGAUGACGGGCUUCGGGUUGUAAACCGCUUUCGCCUGUGACGAAGCGUGAGUGACGGUAAUGGGUAAAGAAGCACCGGCUAACUACGUG
rnacentral:rRNA from 1 species